UGACAGAACAGGUGAGCAAGUCGUAUUAUGCAGGAACAUGUAAGGGAAAGAGCAGAUUAGAUAACAUAUUCUUCUGAAUUUAACCAUAAAAAACUACUUC